rnacentral:rRNA from 1 species
GUGGGGAAUCUUGCGCAAUGGGCGAAAGCCUGACGCAGCCAUGCCGCGUGAAUGAUGAAGGUCUUAGGAUUGUAAAAUUCUUUCACCGGGGACGAUGAUGACGGUACCCGGAGAAGAAGCCCCGGCUAACUUCGUGCCAGCAGCCGCGGUAAUACGAAGGGGGCUAGCGUUGCUCGGAAUUACUGGGCGUAAAGGGCGCGUAGGCGGACAGUUUAGUCAGAGGUGAAAGCCCAGGGCUCAACCUUGGAAUUGCCUUUGAUACUGGCUGUCUUGAGUACGGGAGAGGUGAGUGGAACUCCGAGUGUAGAGGUGAAAUUCGUAGAUAUUCGGAAGAACACCAGUGGCGAAGGCGACUCACUGGCCCGUUACUGACGCUGAGGCGCGAAAGCGUGGGGAGCAAACAGGAUUAGAUACCCCGGUAGUCC